rnacentral:rRNA from 1 species
AGUGAACGCUGGCGGUAGGCCUAACACAUGCAAGUCGAACGGCAGCACAGUAAGAGCUUGCUCUUACGGGUGGCGAGUGGCGGACGGGUGAGGAAUACAUCGGAAUCUACUUUUUCGUGGGGGAUAACGUAGGGAAACUUACGCUAAUACCGCAUACGACCUACGGGUGAAAGCAGGGGAUCUUCGGACCUUGCGCGAUUGAAUGAGCCGAUGUCGGAUUAGCUAGUUGGCGGGGUAAAGGCCCACCAAGGCGACGAUCCGUAGCUGAUCUGAGAGGAUGAGAGGCCACACUGGAACUGAGACAAGGUCCAGACUCCUACGGGAGGCAGCAGGAGGGAAUCUUCAGCAAUGGGCGAAAGCCUGACGGAGCAACGCCGCGUGAGUGAUGAAGGUCUUCGGAUCCUAAAACUCUGUUAUUAGGGAAGAACAAAUGUGUAAGGAACUAUGCACGUCUUGACGGUACCUAAUCAGAAAGCCACGGCUAACUACGUG